rnacentral:rRNA from 1 species
AAAUUGAAGAGUUUGAUCAUGGCUCAGAUUGAACGCUGGCGGCAGGCCUAACACAUGCAAGUCGAACGGUAACAGGAAGAAGCUUGCUUCUUUGCUGACGAGUGGCGGACGGGUGAGUAAUGUCUGGGAAACUGCCUGAUGGAGGGGGAUAACUACUGGAAACGGUAGCUAAUACCGCAUAACGUCGCAAGACCAAAGAGGGGGACCUUCGGGCCUCUUGCCAUCAGAUGUGCCCAGAUGGGAUUAGCUAGUAGGUGGGGUAACGGCUCACCUAGGCGACGAUCCCUAGCUGGUCUGAGAGGAUGACCAGCCACACUGGAACUGAGACACGGUCCAGACUCCUACGGGAGGCAGCAGUGGGGAAUAUUGCACAAUGGGCGCAAGCCUGAUGCAGCCAUGCCGCGUGUAUGAAGAAGGCCUUCGGGUUGUAAAGUACUUUCAGCGGGGAGGAAGGGAGUAAAGUUAAUACCUUUGCUCAUUGACGUUACCCGCAGAAGAAGCACCGGCUAACUCCGUGCCAGCAGCCGCGGUAAUACGGAGGGUGCAAGCGUUAAUCGGAAUUACUGGGCGUAAAGCGCACGCAGGCGGUUUGUUAAGUCAGAUGUGAAAUCCCCGGGCUCAACCUGGGAACUGCAUCUGAUACUGGCAAGCUUGAGUCUCGUAGAGGGGGGUAGAAUUCCAGGUGUAGCGGUGAAAUGCGUAGAGAUCUGGAGGAAUACCGGUGGCGAAGGCGGCCCCCUGGACGAAGACUGACGCUCAGGUGCGAAAGCGUGGGGAGCAAACAGGAUUAGAUACCCUGGUAGUCCACGCCGUAAACGAUGUCGACUUGGAGGUUGUGCCCUUGAGGCGUGGCUUCCGGAGCUAACGCGUUAAGUCGACCGCCUGGGGAGUACGGCCGCAAGGUUAAAACUCAAAUGAAUUGACGGGGGCCCGCACAAGCGGUGGAGCAUGUGGUUUAAUUCGAUGCAACGCGAAGAACCUUACCUGGUCUUGACAUCCACGGAAGUUUUCAGAGAUGAGAAUGUGCCUUCGGGAACCGUGAGACAGGUGCUGCAUGGCUGUCGUCAGCUCGUGUUGUGAAAUGUUGGGUUAAGUCCCGCAACGAGCGCAACCCUUAUCCUUUGUUGCCAGCGGUCCGGCCGGGAACUCAAAGGAGACUGCCAGUGAUAAACUGGAGGAAGGUGGGGAUGACGUCAAGUCAUCAUGGCCCUUACGACCAGGGCUACACACGUGCUACAAUGGCGCAUACAAAGAGAAGCGACCUCGCGAGAGCAAGCGGACCUCAUAAAGUGCGUCGUAGUCCGGAUUGGAGUCUGCAACUCGACUCCAUGAAGUCGGAAUCGCUAGUAAUCGUGGAUCAGAAUGCCACGGUGAAUACGUUCCCGGGCCUUGUACACACCGCCCGUCACACCAUGGGAGUGGGUUGCAAAAGAAGUAGGUAGCUUAACCUUCGGGAGGGCGCUUACCACUUUGUGAUUCAUGACUGGGGUGAAGUCGUAACAAGGUAACCGUAGGGGAACCUGCGGUUGGAUCACCUCCUUACCUUAAAGAAGC